rnacentral:rRNA from 1 species
UACGGGGGGGGCAAGCGUUGUUCGGAAUUACUGGGCGUAAAGGGCGCGUAGGCGGGUGGACAAGUCUGAUGUGAAAGCCCUCGGCUUAACCGUGGAAUUGCGUGAGAUACUGUUUGUCUUGAGUCCGGGAGAGGAGGGUGGAAUUUCCAGUGUAGCGGUGAAAUGCGUAGAUAUUGGGAGGAACACCGGUGGCGAAGGCGGCUCUCUGGACCGGUACUGACGCUGAGGCGCGAAAGCUAGGGGAGCAAACGGG